rnacentral:tRNA from 1 species
GGAGGAGUGGCUCAAAGGUAUAGUGCUUGCCUGGCAGGCAUGAGUCCCUGGGUUCAAACCCUAGCACUGCGA